UACGGAGGGUGCGAGCGUUAAUCGGAAUUACUGGGCGUAAAGGGUGCGUAGGUGGUUGAAUAAGUUAUGUGUGAAAUUCCUGGGCUUAACCUGGGGUGGUCAUAUAAUACUGUUUGACUCGAGUAUGGGAGAGGGUAGUGGAAUUUCCGGUGUAGCGGUGAAAUGCGUAGAGAUCGGAAGGAACACCAGUGGCGAAGGCGGCUACCUGGCCUAAUACUGACACUGAGGCACGAAAGCGUGGGGAGCAAACAGG
rnacentral:rRNA from 1 species